rnacentral:rRNA from 1 species
UACGUAGGGUGCGAGCGUUGUCCGGAAUUAUUGGGCGUAAAGAGCUCGUAGGCGGCUUGUCGCGUCGGAUGUGAAAGCCCGGGGCUUAACUCCGGGUCUGCAUUCGAUACGGGCAGGCUAGAGUUCAGUAGGGGAGAUCGGAAUUCCUGGUGUAGCGGUGAAAUGCGCAGAUAUCAGGAGGAACACCGGUGGCGAAGGCGGAUCUCUGGGCCGAUACUGACGCUGAGGAGCGAAAGCGUGGGGAGCGAACAGG